rnacentral:lncRNA from 1 species
CUUUACAUCUUCUCCUCUUUGCAAAUUCUAAUUGCUUUUUCACAUUCUUCAUUCUCAAGGUAAUCUCCUCUUCCACUCUCAAUUUUUCUUGAAAUUCUAGUAGUUUAUCGUUAUUUUUCAAUAGAUAAGGUUAUUUAAUCCUCCUCAUCAUCUUCUAGCAAAAAAAAUUUCAAAAUCAUCCUCUUGUGCGUGAAUUGGGGGUGAGAGUCAAUAUGAGAGUGAAAGAGGAAGGGGCCGACCGACUUGUUGAAGGACUGGUCAAUCAAUCAUGCCCAUCGGUCGACCUGCCCAACUGGUAUGUUGAUCGACCUUACGUGCCGACUAGGUCAGUUGACUGACACAGUAGACCAACCUUUGUUGGUCAGCUAGCCCCUUGGCUGAUCGAUUGAUCAACCAUAAUGAUGGGGUUAAUCGACUUUUCGUGGCCAAUCGACCCCCUCAAGUCAUUGAUAGUCCUCCUGAUCUUUUCGAUCUUUCCGUUUUUUCCAUGUUCCCCCAAAAAUCAUAUCAGUUCUUUCAAGUCUCAAAUUUAUAACUUGAGAAUUGAUAGGAUCUGAUAGACAGGGUAGUAGUCCUUGAUACCCUAAAAGGACCUAGCUCUUAUAAUUGUUUAACCAAAUUGGAUUAAUUGCUUGAUAGUUAUACGUACGUUGACAAUUAUAUAUAUAGAGCCCCUAAGCCCAAAGAAGAGCUUCCUUGGUCAAAUCCUCAUGAGAUUGCGAUGUACAAAGAUUGUUUUGAUGGGGUUUUGAGGUUUCCUCUUCAUCAUUCUUUGUCUCGAUUUUCAACGAAUUCUAUCUUACCCCGAAUCAGGUAAUCCCAAUGCAUAGAGGAAAAAGCUAUACUUCUUGUACCUUUGUUUUAGGGAAAAAAAUUGAGCCCUUCAUCUAGUUAUUCAGGUAUGUUUUCGAGUUGCACAAUUUAUCUCAGUAUAACGCAUUUGUCUACUUCACUACUAGGGUUCCUCUUUAUAUUCCUAAGCAUACAAAUUCUAACAGUGGACGGAAGUCUCAAUUCUUCUCUGUGCAACCUUCCAAAGCCUGAUUUCCAUUCAAUACUUAUUAAAGACUUUACCAAAUUCACAUUUUCAAUAGUCAUGUUGAUCCUACUCCUCUUUCGAAUUCUCAAAUUCAAUAGCUGACUCGCCUACCACCUCUUGCACCCCUUUUAUCUCAAGUUUUAAUAAUGAGGAAGAUGUCAAUAUUGGAAAAUGGUGGACCUGUCAGUAGGUCCUUAUAUAUAGCUCUUAUUUUUGUAUUGUGCGUAUCUUCAAUUGUUAGCCUUUGUGCCUAAUUAGCUUGGCUGUAUGUAUACAAGUAUGGAGUUCGACUUGGAAAGAAUUUUGAGCUCGCUACCUAAACCUGAGCCUAAGAUUAUCCCAUGCUUUUCCCAAAAAGAAAAAGGUCGCUGGCAAGAGAAAAAGAAAAAAAGCACUGACAGGAAAUUGCUCAGCCAUGAAAUAAGCCCAGGAGAGCAGUUCCACCACAUGAAGUUGGAGGAACGACUUGAGUCCUGAUGAGGUCAGGUUUGAGAACGAUGGUUCUCCACUUCUAGAUCUUAGGUUUUUACCGACUUGAGGUAACAUAAAGUUGAUAUGGUCGAUUGUUUCAUCAUGUCUAAUCAUGUUAGAGCUUUAUCUAGACGCAGAGUAUAUAUUGUAGAGAAGAUCCUGGCAAUUUACAGCAAAAGGGUAUUCUUCUUGCUCAACUUCUUCAUUUUUGUUUAUAUUCAUGCCUUUGAGUUUGCCUGACUAUUGUAUUUUCUUUUUCCUAUAUGCUUGAUUGGUUUUGACUAUGCAAGCUUUAAUUGUUAGCGUAAGUCGCGUUUUAACGACUGAGUUAAAAGCUCUCGAGAAGGACAAGGAAGCAAGUUACUUUAAGGAAAUAGUAUGGCCUUAAAGAGAUCUUCCAAUGCUCUGGAGGCCAAGUAAAAAAGGAGAUGGAGUCUCGAACUAGUGAACAAGAGAGUGAAAUUUGAUAACUUGUGCUCUUCUCUGGCCCGUGCUCGGAUUGAUGCAGUAGAUUGAUACAAGGCUUCUUUGAAGUAUAUUAAGGACAUAAAUGAAUAUAGGGCAAAAGCUAUGGCGGCCUCUAUCACUCUUACUAAAGAAUGGGUGGUUGCUGAGCAUCCAUCCACCGAUCCCUUUAACUACAAUCGAUUUCUAUUAUAGUGGAGAGAUAAAGAAAAGUAGCUAAGCAGAGCAAAACAUUUGGAUACACUAGUGCACCACGGAGAGAAAGCGGAGAGAGUUCGCAUCCCGAGUGACUUAGUUUUUAAUUAUUU